rnacentral:misc_RNA from 1 species
GAUGAAGAACGUAGUGAAAUGCGAUAAGUAAUGUGAAUUGCAGAAUUCAGUGAAUCAUCGAAUCUUUGAACGCACAUUGCGCCCGGUAGUAUUCUGCCGGGCAUGCCUGUUCGAGCGUCAUUUCAACCAUCAAGCCCCAGCGCUUGUGUUGGGGGCCUGCGGCUGCCGCAGCCCCCCAAAAGCAGUGGCGGGCUCGCUAUCACACCGAGUGCAGUAGUUCAUCUUCUCUCCGGUCUUGUGAGGCGGGUUCCGGCCGUGAAACACCCCACUACAUUCAAGGUUGACCUCGGAUCAGGUAGGAAUACCCGCUGAACUUAAGCAUAUCAAUAAGCGGAGGA